rnacentral:rRNA from 1 species
CCUACGGGAGGCUGCAGUGAGGAAUAUUGGUCAAUGGACGAGAGUCUGAACCAGCCAAGUAGCGUGAAGGAUGACUGCCCUAUGGGUUGUAAACUUCUUUUAUAUGGGAAUAAAAUGUUCCACGUGUGGGAUUUUGUAUGUACCAUAUGAAUAAGGAUCGGCUAACUCCGUGCCAGCAGCCGCGGUAAUACGGAGGAUCCGAGCGUUAUCCGGAUUUAUUGGGUUUAAAGGGAGCGUAGGUGGAUUGGUAAGUCAGUUGUGAAAGUUUGCGGCUCAACCGUAAAAUUGCAGUUGAAACUGGCAGUCUUGAGUACAGUAGAGGUGGGCGGAAUUCGUGGUGUAGCGGUGAAAUGCUUAGAUAUCACGAAGAACUCCGAUUGCGAAGGCAGCUCACUGGACUGCAACUGACACUGAGGCUCGAAAGUGUGGGUAUCGAACAGGAUUAGAUACCCUUGUAGUG